rnacentral:rRNA from 1 species
GACGAACGCUGGCGGCGUGCUUAACACAUGCGAGUCGAACGGUGAAGCGCCUUCCUUUUUGGUGGGUGUGGAUGAGUGGCGAACGGGUGAGUAACACGUGAGUAACCUGCCCCCUUCUUCUGGAUAACCGCAUGAAAGUGUGGCUAAUACGGGAUAUUCUGGGUCUGUCGCAUGAUGGGUCUGGGAAAGAUAUUGUUUCGGUGGGGGAUGGGCUCGCGGCCUAUCAGCUUGUUGGUGGGGUGAUGGCCUACCAAGGCGGUGACGGGUAGCCGGCCUGAGAGGGUGGACGGUCACACUGGGACUGAGACACGGCCCAGACUCCUACGAGAGGCAGCAGUGGGGAAUAUUGCACAAUGGGCGCAAGCCUGAUGCAGCGACGCCGCGUGAGGGAUGGAGGCCUUCGGGUUGUGAACCUCUUUCGCCAGUGAAGCAGGCCUGCCUCGUUUGUGGGUGGGUUGACGGUAGCUGGAGAAGAAGCGCCGGCUAACUACGUG